rnacentral:rRNA from 1 species
CAGCAGCCACGGUAAUACGAAGGGGGCUAGCGUUGCUCGGAAUUACUUGGCGUAAAGGGAGCGUAGGCGGAUCGUUAAGUUGGGGGUGAAAGCCCGGGGCUCAACCUCGGAAUUGCCCUCAAUACUGGCGAUCUUGAGUAUGGAAGAGGUAUGUGGAACUCCGAGUGUAGAGGUGAAAUUCGUAGAUAUUCGGAAGAACACCAGUGGCGAAAGCGGCUCACUGGACCAUUUCUGACGCUGAUGCACGAAAGCUAGGGGAGCAAACAGGAUUAGAUACCCCCGUAGUCCCUGUCUCUUAUAC